rnacentral:tRNA from 1 species
GCGUCCGUAGCUCAGUUGGUUAGAGCACCACCUUGACAUGGUGGGGGUCGGUGGUUCGAGUCCACUCGAACGCACCA